GACAUCCAAGGCCGGCGUGUGUGUUGUGCCUUUUCCGUUGCUUGCUCAACAUAUAUCUACUCCUCCGCGUGAUAGCUUUUUGAUUUCGCCUUCCUCUGACGGGAAUUGAAAUUGAUUAUCCCGACGACGACGCGAAUAUAAAAACUCCUUUGAGCUGCUGCACGCGUGCGAUUAGCGCAAAGAAUGAAAAACGAUAUUCCGUGCGAGUUGUGAUUGAAAGAAAAUGUGUCGCCUUGGUAACUGCAGACGAUUGUGAGGUGAUUCGUUUGUGGGUUCUGUUUCACAAAAUGCAAAUAUUGAUUGUGGAGUUUUCCCUUUGCAUAGUGCCUAAUGACCCUCGUGGAAAAUUUCCUGAAAUAUACUUCUUCCACUUUUCGAUCAGAACAGAGAGCAAGUUGCUUUUUCUGGGGUGAGCAAAUGGUACACCUCUGAAUGCCCACGCAUUCUGUGUAUGUGCAACUCUAGAUCUCGCAGCCUGGAUGAGCGAUUGCGUUACAAAACUGCGUUUCGAAGAAUCCCCUUAGCUCAAGUCAUUCUCUUCUUGGCGAAAUCCAACACCGCACCCCAAAUAAUGCCGAGACCAAAUUGCUCACCGUUGUCGCAAAACCAAAAUAGGACAAAAUCAAAUAUUAUCCAUGUGAAGAUCAGUAAAGAUGAUUAUUGAAUUUAUAUAUUUAAAAAUGUGGAAUUGCACUCCUUUUUCAUUCGCAAUUCAUACUUUUGAAGGUGAGAGUGAAAAGCGAUUCAUCUCGUUUUACAUGUAGCUGCAAAGUUCCACUUUUAGCAGGCGUGUUGCAUUGCAGUUGCAGCAACCUCUCUUGUAUGAAAGUGCAUUAGGCUUUUGCAGCUGCACUUUGAUUGACUUGCGUGAAGCGCAAAGACUCGACUUGACAAGCUCGCCCUUUUUGAAUGCACAGACGGAACGUGUCAAUGGAAUUCAUGGCAAGAGCGGAUUGAUGGGUUUUGGUGAUCCAAAUGGAAAUGGGAAAAUGAUGUCGCACCGCCUAAUGGUUUGACGCUGUCCUUCAACGUAUGGUGGACUUUAUCAUUUGACUCACGGUGCAUGGUUACAGUUUAUCAAAUAAACCGAGUUUGAAUAAUGCGAAUGUAAAUUUGUUUUUAAACUAAAAGAAUAAAAAAUAUGUAUUGACUGAUUUAUACAAAAAAAAGUAUAAAUUUUGCAUUUAAAA